AGGCGUAAAUUAUCGAUAAUUCGAUCAAUCGAUACAUCGCAAAGCUCGCCACGCCACUGUUCAGUAUAAAUAAGACGACUCAGCUCGCGAAGCGGUUCAGUAUUUUUUCUUCAUUUCCAGCGUUUAAAUCUCCAGUGAAGUGUUUGAUAAUAUUCACCUUGUUCCAACCUCAGGCCGCGAGAAUGUUCGCCCGCAGUCUCUAACGAUCCCUCACUUUCUGCAAUUCAUCUAUUUUAAAACCAAUACAACUGUUGCUGGAACCGGGUUUAACAUCCAGUCCCUGGCACCACGAGCAGAUUCCAGGGUCAGUUUCAACGCAGAACUGAAUACCGCGGUUUCUCUCGUUUUGCUUGCACUAAACUAUCCACGUAUUCAUCUGAAAAUUUGUUUGUCGCCUUUCUUAAAAUAUUGUGGUCAAUAAAGACGUCUUGAUAACACA